rnacentral:rRNA from 1 species
AUUGAACGCUGGCGGCGGGCUUAACACAUGCAAGUCGAGCGGGGGAGGCUGCUUCGGUAACUGACCUAGCGGCGGACGGGUGAGUAAUACUUAGGGAGCUGCCUAUUAAUGGGGGACAACAUCUCGAAAGGGAUGCUAAUACAGCAAACAAGAAAAAGGAACAAGACAGAGCACACUUGUGACCUUGCGUUAAUAGAAGAGCCUAAGUCGGAUUAGCUAGUUGGUGGGGUAAAGGCCUACCAAGGCGACGAUCUGUAGCGGGUCUGAGAGGAUGAUGCGCCACACGGGGACUGAGCCACGGCCCAGGCUCCUGCGGGAGGCAGCAGUGGGGAAUAUUGGACAAUGGGGGGAACCCUGAUCCAGCCAUGCCGCGUGUGUGAAGAAGGCCUUAUGGUUGUAAAGCACUUUAAGCGAGGAGGAGGCUCUUUUGGUUAAUACCCAAGAUGAGUGGACGUUACUCGCAGAAUAAGCACCGGCUAACUCUGUGCCAGCCGCCGCCGUAAAAC